GGGUCACAGCCUAGUGGUAAAGUAUUUGCCUGACAUGCCUAAGAUCCUGGGCUCGAUAUCCAGAAUUGCCCA
rnacentral:tRNA from 1 species